GCCUGGGUAGCUCAGUUGGUAGAACAUCAGACUUUUAAUCCGAGGGUCUUGGGUUCAAGUCCCUGUUCAGGCA
rnacentral:tRNA from 1 species